rnacentral:rRNA from 1 species
CCGAGUUAUACAACUCAUCAACCCUGUGAACAUACCUAAAACGUUGCUUCGGCGGGAACAGACGGCCCUGUAACAACGGGCCGCCCCCGCCAGAGGACCCCUAACUCUGUUUUUAUAAUGUUUUUCUGAGUAAACAAGCAAAUAAAUUAAAACUUUCAACAACGGAUCUCUUGGCUCUGGCAUCGAUGAAGAACGCAGCGAAAUGCGAUAAGUAAUGUGAAUUGCAGAAUUCAGUGAAUCAUCGAAUCUUUGAACGCACAUUGCGCCCGCCAGUAUUCUGGCGGGCAUGCCUGUUCGAGCGUCAUUACAACCCUCAGGCCCCCGGGCCUGGCGUUGGGGAUCGGCGGAAGCCCCCUGUGGGCACACGCCGUCCCUCAAAUACAGUGGCGGUCCCGCCGCAGCUUCCAUUGCGUAGUAGCUAACACCUCGCAACUGGAGAGCGGCGCGGCCAUGCCGUAAAACACCCAACUUCUGAAUGUUGACCUCGAAUCAGGUAGGAAUACCCGCUGAACUUACAU